ensembl:rRNA 5S_rRNA 5S ribosomal RNA
GUCUACGGCCAUACCACCCUGAACGCGCCCGAACUCGUCUGAUCUCUGAAGCUAAGCAGGGUCGGGCCUGGUUGGUACUUGGAUGGGACAAAACGUUCGACCUUACUCAUCGCUAGAGAAAGGCAAUUGAAAUUU